UGUCCAAUGCGGGAAUCGAACCCGGGUCCUAGUGGUCGAAAACCAAACGGUUUAACCAGCGAUGUUUUUAUUACUCAGGUGACUCGAAC